GAUAGCUGGUUAUUCAGGAAACGGAUAUUAGUCCAACUUUAAAUCACCUUAUGCCUCAAACACCCCAACAGAUUUAAAUUACACUCAAAUAAGGUACAGCCUAUUUGAAACAGGAUACAACCUACAACACAGGGUAAUGUUCAACUACAUUGAUUAAGUGGGCCUAAGAGCAGCCACCUUUUAAAAAGUGUUACAACUUCAUCACAACCUCCACAAAUCCCAAUCAAGACCCAAAACCCGCCACCAAUACUGAAUGACUCCAUAACUAUAUGGAAAACCUUAUGCUAGAACUAGUAACAAGAAUAUAUUCUCUAAAAGUAAGUGUAAGCCGGAAUGAACCCCUCACCGGCACCUACCGCCAAUGACCCUGAGGUAGUAACCCCCCCCCCAAGAAAAUUCUACCUAAAGUAACGUUAACCUUACACCAGAACUUUAAUAGAAAGAUUAAAAAAGGGGGAAGGAACUCGGCAAAUCUUGAUCCCGCCUGUUUACC
rnacentral:rRNA from 1 species